rnacentral:rRNA from 1 species
GCAUGCAUGUCGAGCGAUCUCGCAAGAGAUAGCGGCAAACGGGUUAGGAACACGUAGAUAAUCUUCCUUAUAUUCUGACAUAGCCCUAUGAAAAUAGGGGUAAUAUCAGAUGGUAUCCUGGAAUGGCAUCGUUUUAGGAUUAAAGUAGGGGACCGCAAGGCCUUACGAUAUAAGAUGAGUUUGCGUAGCAUCAGCUAGUUGGUAGGGUAAUGGCCUACCAAGGCUAAGACGCUUAGCUGGUCUGAGAGGACGAUCAGCAACACUGGGACUGAGACACUGCCCAGACUCCUACGGGAGGCUGCAGUCGAGAAUAUUUAGCAAUGGGCGAAAGCCUGACUAUGCGACGCCGCGUGAGGGAUGAAGGAUUUCGGUUCGUAAACCUCUUUUGGCAGGGAAGAAAAAGUUGCAUUUAACACAUGCAAAACUGACGGUACCUGCAGAAUAAGCCACGGCUAACUCCGUGCCAGCAGCCGCGGUAAUACGGAGGUGGCUAGCGUUACUCGGAAUUAUUGGGUGUAAAGGGCAAGUAGGCGGCUUGGUAAGCGGGGGGUGAAAUACUCCGGCUCAAUCGGAGAACAGCCUUCCGAACUGCCAGGCUUGAGUGUGACAGAGGAAAAUGGAAUUCUCGGUGUAAGGGUGAAAUCUGUAGAUAUCGAGAAGAACACCAGCGGCGAAGGCGAUUUUCUGGGUCACUACUGACGCUAAAUUGCGAAAGCUAGGGGAGCAAACAGAAUUAGAUACUCUGGUAGUCCUAGCCGU